GGGAGUAUCCAGCAUAAGGAUGCCUAAGUCUAGUCCCUGCAGGACAGAGCAAUCCAAAAUGCUUUAGAAAGAAGCUUUCUAGAUGGACUCAGAUUCUUCCAGACUACACUGACCUUGAGAGUUGGUUAAGGUCACAGAGAUGAGGUACUGUAGCCAUGUCCAAGAAGGCAGAGCCUGAUUAUCCCGGGAGUCACUAACAUUGCGAUUUCUAAUGGGAAGCUUUGAUUCCCAAUGGGCUCGCUCUGAACUUAGCUUCUCUGUGGCUAACCAUCUCAGAAGAAAUGAAGCAAUUCCACAAGGAUCUGUGAAUCCCAUCCUCUCUCUCUGAGCCAUCAGAGAACUAAGUAGCUGCCUCACCUUGCAAACAAAGCAUCUUACACCUCCCACCCCUGCCUUACACCUCCUUAUACUCCCCCUCUUCUUAGGAGGAGUCUGAGCAGGAGCUGCCUGAGCCAAGAUGUCUCCAGGCUGAAUCGCUGCCUGUCUCAUCCUCAGACCGUAUUUCCACUUCCAGCAGAUCCUACUGGUCCAGAAAGGAAAAGUCAGAGCAUCCUGUGCACAGGGAGCCCAUGAAAGGAAAGGAAGGAGUCAGCGACAGUGGCCUUUCAGGCACACGGCAGUUGCUUCUGUGGCCAGCACAUGGAUAUUCAUGUGCAUCUAAAUGACCGAGUGAGUGAGGAAAUCCCUGGUUGAGAGACAGUUACUUGGAAUGUCACCGAACAGAACGACAGGGAGCUGGAACCGGGGAGAAUGUGGAAUGUCAUUUCAGGGACAUAGAGAGACAGUAAAAAUGAUUUUACCACAAAAUUCAGUGGAUCUGAAGGGAAGAUGGACUAUAUCAUCACACUUCACUUUGGACACAAUGCCCAGGCUCAGUACAGACAUGUGUCAUUUUAUAAUGAAAAAUCCUUCUCUAAUGUGUACAGUACCUACAGGUAAGUGUGCUCGAUUGAAUGAGAAUGGUCCCAGUUGGUGGACCUAUUUGGGAAGGAUGAGGAGGUGUGAUUUUAGUAGAGGAGGUGUGUUACUGGGAACAGGUUUUGAGGUUUCAGAAGGCUCAUGCAUUUCCCAUCACUGUUCUCUGCCUCGUGGUUAUGGAUCACGGCGUGAGUCUCGGUUGCUCCUUCAUGCUGCCAUCAUGGACUCCAACUCUUUAAAACCGCAGGGGGUACUUCAUGGCACGGAUCGUUCCCACUGAAGUGCCCACAAACAUCAUGCGCCCGGAAUGUGAGAGGGUGAGGGCCGUAUAGAUGACGUCAAAUGCUGAUAUCUCUC